UAGGAGAGGUGGCACCAAUUUUUGGGCAGGUAUUUGAGGCAAGCUGAAAACUUGUCACAUACCUCUCCUAUUAUAUUCCAACACGGAAUUGCAGACCUGGCUGGUGAGUAGCGGGGCUAAAUCAACCCCUACAUUUUUGAAAAUAUUAUUUUUUUUUUCCCAAAAAUAUAUUUGAGGCAAUACGCAAUUUAUAUAUGUUGCAGUGUAAUACUUAAUAAAUACGAAAAAAAAUAAGCCAGACAAUUUAAUCGGGGCUUUAACAUUACCAGACGCGUGCAAAUAUUUUUUAAAAAAAUUAUAAAAAAUGUUUUUGAGGCAGCUUGAAAUUUUAAUGGAGUGUUAUUUAUAACUAUAAAAUAAAAUUCCCAAAAAGACAGAUCAUUUCGGUAGGGCUUUCUACCUGCCAGGCGAUCAAACAAAUAAUGGAUGGGUACGGGCCUGUACUACUAUAGACAAGCUGUAGUGUGAGAGAGAGCGCAUAUCGACAGCUGUCUUCGUUCUGGCUUGCCGCGUUACUAUUGGCUCUAGUGAGGCCACGUGACUUACAAUAACCCAUGAGGUUUUUAGUUAGAAUUUCGGAGUCGUUACUUUCAGUCGUAUUAUUCUACUAAUGCAUUUACAGCUCUUCUUUCUUCUGAAUUAAAACAACAUCUUUUAAGAACGCAAUAUAUAACAAGCAUUUGGAGAAAUGCAUAUUUACGAUUCCCCAGUUCUUUGACACCUAAUAGAAACGGAUGGACACUUAAUGAGGAUACGCUAGAUUUUCACUGGUCUGACGGAGAGUGUAUGCCGCAAUUAGUAUUCGACGCUGUUGUUCACGAGGAAAAUAAAAAUAACGAUGAUGAAAAUCAUACUACAGAUGAUGAAGAGGUUGCCGAAUCUGAUACAGAUGAAUCCGAAGAUUCAAGUAGUUCUGAUGAAGAUUCUGAUCCACAGACGAAAAAUGAUAAUUUAUCUGACGUGAAACGAAUUUAAUUUAUUUCUAAUUUUUUUAUACUUAAAUAAUUGAAACACUGAAGAAAUAUUAUAUUUUUUUAAAUC